rnacentral:rRNA from 1 species
UGGGGAAUAUUGCACAAUGGGCGCAAGCCUGAUGCAGCCAUGCCGCGUGUGUGAAGAAGGCUCUAGGGUUGUAAAGCACUUUCAGUAGGGAGGAAAAGCUUAAAACUAAUAAUUUUAAGCCUUGACGUUACCUACAGAAGAAGCACCGGCAAACUCCGUGCCAGCAGCCGCGGUAAUACGGAGGGUGCAAGCGUUAAUCGGAAUUACUGGGCGUAAAGCGCGCGUAGGUGGUUUUAUAAGCUAGCUGUGAAAGCCCCGGGCUCAACCUGGGAACUGCAGUUAGAACUGUUUGACUAGAGUAUGAUAGAGGGUGGCGGAAUUUCCUGUGUAGCGGUGAAAUGCGUAGAUAUAGGAAGGAACAUCAGUGGCGAAGGCGGCCACCUGGAUUAAUACUGACACUGAGGUGCGAAAGCGUGGGGAGCAAACAGG